GGGAAUCUGUUCCCCAGACGGGAGGCGUCGGGUGGGGAUGGAAGCGUUAUCAGAGUGCAUGUUCCCCUCUCGGUAACAGACAUGGCUCAGUGUAAAGAAAGGUUUGGCAGAUUCUCCAAGAACCCUGCUAUGUUUAGGGAUGAAUUUAUUAAGUUGAGUAUAGUUUUGUUCUGACUUGAAGGGACAGGACUGCAGUGUGAACGCACUGCUGCCCUCCUCUGUCAUGCCUUUAUGACAAAGGUGAAUUCUCACAAAGGCUGCUGAAGUAGCUGAUGGGUCGGCAGCUCCAGACCACGAUGCUCGGAAGCCUUCUGAGGAAGCAGCACCCCUCAUUGACUUCAAAUGCGACCCUGAAAAUUCUCACAAAAUGGAGAGAAUAGAGCAUUUUGGGACUUGUGUUUCAGAGGAGAUGGGAAGGUGUCAGGUUAAGCCUGUCAAUUACGACAGGAUGAAAGGGAGGAGCAUCCUGCUGUAUUUUCCAGUCACCUGUCAGAGACCUUCCAAAGCAGAUGGUGUCACCCUCGUAUGGGGGACCCCAGAGGAUGUCGCAUACCACAGAAAACCCACUGCACUGCCAGCCCUUGGAGAAGAAAUUGAAAAUGCAUGCGCAACAAUCUCAACAACCAAGGUCACCCGAGCAGCAGCUCUCCGUGCUAGUGAACAUCUGGGAGGCGAACGGCACCACUGUGAGCACCCCUGUAAUUGCAGAGGCCAAA
rnacentral:lncRNA from 1 species